rnacentral:tRNA from 11 species
CGUGGCCUAGUGGUUAAGGCGCCCGGCUGGUGACUUGGGUGUCGUAUGUUCGAGCUCC